UGUGAUUGAAGUUGUCGUCAUAGAUAAAUAUUAAAAUGCAUUUAUUAUUAUUAGCCCUUUGCCUUUGGUAGUAUCUACAAUAAAUCAUAUUAUAUUCACAUUACUCAUACCACACAGCAUAUUCUACCAACAGGGCUUCCAUUAAGUUCCAAACAUUGGCAGUCAAAGACUGCAAAAUGUCUGUAAUUGGAAGUCACUUUGUAGGUAAAGAAGGAAAAGCAUUACAUUUUGGAAGCCAAAAUCAAGAUGUAAAUGACUCCCAAACUUAAAUAACAGAAGCCCUGCUACCAAAAUAUUUUUAAAUUAUGAGCCAGCACUUUUUGCUGAUGAAAUAUUUUGUGUUGUUGUUUUAGGUCUGACAGCCAACAUACAUUUAAGAUCUUCAACUUAGUUCAUCAGAGUUUGAAGUAGAUAAUAUGAUUAUCCAGCAUGUUGCAGCCAUAUUAUUCAAGGAAAUGUACUGAAGACAUAGACAGUUCGAUCACCUAUUUGCUGAUGAAUAUACUAAACUAUUGUUUGAAAUGAGGCACAAUGUGUGACAUAGUUCGAUGCCCUAUUGAGCAGCAGGGUUAUGGAGUUAAAAAGAUCAACUGUACUGUAUUGGUCAAGAUAAAAAAAAAACACUUCAAUUGGGAUGGCAUGUGAGAAGUCAGUGACUUGUCUAUGUCUGCAGUAUACCAAAAGUGAAAUACAUUCUCAUAGAAUUUGUCUUUAGAAGUAUCCCUGAAAAAGCUGAAUACUGCAGUUGCAGGUGUUACUGUAUUUUUACUUAAUUGUGAAACAAGUUUUUGCAAGUUUUAUAUAUGAAUCACUUUUUGCUUACAAAAACUGAAGGCAUUUGAGGAGACAUAGUUGCUAUUACCCUGUUUGGGUCAAACCCUCAACAUGGUGUUGCAAGACUAUAAGUCAAGUACAUAAAGGAGCUGUCAUUUGUGACUUCCCAUGUGAUUGCAAGAAUCUGCUAUUGUAAUUGUUUUAAAUUCAUUGAAAUUAUAUCAUUUUAAAAAUAUACUAAUAUGUUAUUCAUAUUAUACAAUUUAAAAUACACUGAUCAGAAUAUGAUUACACUGUCAAUAUCUGUAACUGAAAAUUAAGUCAAGAACAGAACUAGUGCAAGCUCUUUCUAUUUUUUUUUGGUUACAUUUCUGAAAGACUUUUGAAGUUAUUGUGAAAUGGAAUAUUUUUUUUAUAAAAUGCAAUUAUUUUUAAUAAUUCAGUUAUUUUUGCCUUUUUUGUUACCAUGGCAACCAAAAUACACCAUUUUUGCAAUCAGUGCAUUAAACAAUAUUUGUUUUGCAUUGGAUACAAAUUUUAUUGGAUUCAUAUUUUAUAUGCUAUCAUGUUAUAGAUGUGCAUUUUAAAGUUGACUAACUUAAUUUAUGAUAUUCUUCUUAAUCAUGGAAAAGUUACUGAAAUUCUGAGAAUUUAAUUCUUAUGUUUAAAGCUAUUAAGGGAAAAAAGAAAAAUCCUUUUUUUUUUGGAAAAGUCUUUAAUAUUGUUGUCUUUUAAUAUAAUAUAUGCAUUAAUUUGGUGAUGAACUAAUCAUGUUAAGUGCAAAAUAUUGCAUUUGAUAAUUUUUUUUGUUGCCAUGGCAACCGAUUUUUAAAACAAGCGAUAGUUUUUAUAUUAAGAUAUUACAUAUAUUACACUAAGAUGAAUGAUCACUUUAUUUUUUUUUAUUUUAUUGUGUAUAACUAUGGAAUUAUUUCUAAUUUGUAUAUACCAAUAAAAGUUAAAAAUGUAUUUUUUGUUGUUAUGGUGAUGUCAUACAAAUUAGAAUAUUUCAUUAAAUAUCAAGUAUUUUUUAAAAAUAAUUGUUUCAAGCUAUUCAGCAGAUGUUGGUGUACCACAAACUAGUCAUAACUCAUUUUCGCCAAAAUAUCACAUUUGGGCCAAAAAUCGCUGAGCUUGUCACAUAUUU